rnacentral:tRNA from 1 species
GAAGGUAUAGCUCAGUGGCAGGGCACAUGCUUAGCAUGCAGGAGGUCCUGGGUUCAAUCCUCAGCAUCUCCA